UCUGAUAACUUCUCAAAUAUUUCAGCAUAGGCUUCUGUGCAUGUAGAUAGAUAUAGUGAAAUAAUGACAUAAGAUGGAAAAAUCUCUUCCGUUUGUCUUGGUGUUUGGUAGUGUGCCAGUAUUUGAAAAAUCCCAAUGUAUCUGAUUCACUGCUGCUGCAGAAUAUUUUCCAAGCUCUGAAUGUAUAUUACAAUUAUUCGGGCCAGGUGAAAUGCCUGAAUAUUUCAGAGACAGCAACUAGCAGUCUGGGAACACUGGGUUGGAGCUAUCAGGCCUGCACAGAAGUAGUCAUGCCCUUUUGUACUAAUGGUGUCGAUGACAUGUUUGAACCUCACUCAUGGAACUUAAAGGAACUUUCUGAUGACUGUUUUCAACAGUGGGGUGUGAGACCAAGGCCCUCCUGGAUCACUACUAUGUAUGGAGGCAAAAACAUCAGCUCACACGCAAACAUUGUUUUCAG
rnacentral:sRNA from 1 species